rnacentral:rRNA from 1 species
AUACGUAGGGUGCGAGCGUUGUCCGGAAUUAUUGGGCGUAAAGGGCUCGUAGGCGGUUUGUCGCGUCGGGAGUGAAAACACUGGGCUUAACCGAGUGCUUGCUUUCGAUACGGGCAGACUAGAGGUAUGCAGGGGAGAACGGAAUUCCUGGUGUAGCGGUGAAAUGCGCAGAUAUCAGGGGGAACACCGGUGGCGAAGGCGGUUCUCUGGGCAUUACCUGACGCUGAGGAGCGAAAGUGUGGGGAGCGAACAGGAUUAGAUACCCUGGUAGUCCACACCGUAAACGUUGGGCGCUAGGUGUGGGAUCCAUUCCACGGGUUCCGUGCCGCAGCUAACGCAUUAAGCGCCCCGCCUGGGGAGUACGGCCGCAAGGCUAAA